GAUGAACGCUGGCGGCGUGCCUAAUACAUGCAAGUCGAACGAACAGAUGCGGAGCUUGCUCCUCUGACGUUAGCGGCGGACGGGUGAGUCACACGUGUAUCACCUACCUAUAAGACUGGGAUAACUUCGGGAAACCGGCUCUAAUACCGUAUAAUAUACUGAAGCGCGUUGUUCAAUAGUGAGAUACGGCUUUGCUGGCACGUCUCGAUGGAUCCGCGCCGCAUUAGCUAGUUGGUACGGUAAUGGCUUACCAAGGCAACGAGGCGUAUCCGACCUCAGAGAGGGAUCGGCGGCACUGGAAGUGAGACAGGGUCCAGACUACUACGGGAGGCACCAGUAGGCAAUCGUACGCAACGGGCGAGAGUCUGACGGAGCAACGCGGAGUGAGUGAUGAAGGUCCUCGGAUCGUAAAACCGUGUUACGAGGGAAGAACAAAUGUGUAAGUAGAUAUGCACGUCUUGACGGUAACUAAUAAGAAAGCAACGGCUAACUACGUG
rnacentral:rRNA from 1 species